GAAGAGAGUUUGUGUUUACAUAUGAAGUCUAGGUUUCCUUUGUUGUGUUGAGUCUUCUCUUUGGCUCCGUCAUGGUUACUAGAGGAAGUUUCCAUUGUUUUUUCUUGCUCCAAGUGGAUGUUUAGCUUCCCCUCCAUGGUCGAAUUCCUUAGAUCUUUUUGUUGGUUUCUAGCUUGAUUCUUCUAACACCUUUGGGUUGUAGUUUUUU
rnacentral:misc_RNA from 1 species